CCCUCAUUCUUUGCACCUACAUGUCCAAGAUGGCAUAAGGAACUUCAUGCAGGCAGAUGUUUUUAGUGCUUGCUACUUAUGACAUAAAAAUAAGUGUUGUCCCUUCACAGGAAGGAGUGUGGAACCCUCCUGAGCUAGAGCUGAAACUGAACAUGUUAGAGAUGCAUCAAUGGAAACAACAGAGCAAUUCCAUUCCUCAGAUCUCCUGAGACAUUCCACUGCACCAUAUUCUCAGCCAUAUUUCAGCCAUCAGCUGCUUCCCUGAUCCCACCACCAGUUCCUAUACUGGUGCCUCAAGUCCUCCCAGUGGCCCACAGAGGGUCUUCUUCUGAAGGAAUUACCAACUGGUCUUCCCAUGUUUGUUUUUCUGAAGAUUAUUCUAUAUUCAAUUUUUAAUUUUAUAGCUAAACAUCUCAUUUUCUGGAAAAUUUGGGCCAAGGAAUUUAAAAAGCAGUUCGGAGGUACUGUCACAUUGCAGCAAAGUUUUAUUGUGGGAAAGGAAAGCUUUCAGUGA
rnacentral:lncRNA from 1 species